AUGAAGUCCACUGUGGUGGACUAGUUCUGUUCUUUAUUCACAUAUAAGUGACUUAUCUUCAAUACUGUUUCCCUGAUCCUUAAAAUUCCUCGUGGAUUGUAGGAUCUAACAUCCUGGUCUAACCUAGCUGACCAGCUGCUAGAGUAAUGUCUGUUAAACUGUAUACUUUAAUCUUUAAACUUUGAUCUUUUGUUUGAAAUAUUGUCUCUUCUCAUAACAUUCUUAGAUGAGGAAAUUUGUUGCUAUUUGUUAUCAGCCUUCUAGUAACACACUUUCACAGAUUUGAAUCAGAGACUGGAAAACUAGCUUUACCUGAAAUGGAGAUAACAAUUCUGUGUUUCAAGAAUGCUGCUGGAAAGUUAAGUCUGUCUUUCUUACCUCUGUGGGCUGUCUGGUUAAUAAUUAAAGAACUGUAAAUUUUGGAAGCUGCUGGUGAAGUUUAACAGUAAUAUGAUUUGGAUAAUCUAAGAACUGACUUGAGUCUUAGAUUAAAGUGUAGUCUAAAGCUCAGUCUAUUUAAAGGAAUAGUUAGGAUGGGUUGCUCUAAGUUCUGCAUACCAUAACAUCAGCAAAUAGUAGCUUCAAUAAACUUAUUUCACAGAGUUCUUUGAGAAUUAAAAUAUCUGAGCUCAGAUGUCAUUUAGUUCAAGUUUGGAACAUGCUCCUCAUUGUCUAUGUCUAAAUUAGCAAUUGGAGAAAUAGUGCAGUUUUGAAGCAAAUGCUUUCCAUGUACUAUGUACGAUUGGUUCCUGACAGCAGUUUUUGUGCACUAGAUCUCACUUUUUUUUGGAGGAACUAAAGCAAACAACACUGGUCACAACUAUGUACCACAGAUAAGUUUCUUGGUCAUCUCAGUGACUAUUGGGUUUGAGAUGACUGGCAAACAAGGUUUCAUUAUGUUUUAAAAAUGAAGGAAACAUCCUUAAAAACCAGCAUCAGGGUUGGCCUGGCAGGUGGGCACCUGUUACAAAGAGCUUCCAGAAAUAUUCAAGUGGGAGCAUAGUGCUGAGCCAAUCUGGAUUUCUCAGCCUUUGAUUCUUUAUACUGAAGGAUAGGGAGGGUUAUCUCGCCUUGCUCUGGAAUUCCCCAUACCUGGGUUCAGAGAGGACUACUGGGAAAACACAUCCAGAAACAUCCCAUCAGCCCAUAGCUUACAUUAAGCAACAUGCUAUGUCAUUAUGGCCAAUUCCAGCUGCAAUGAUUAUUAUUCACUCCAGCAAACGUGGCCAUUAAAUGCAAGGAUUUGGGAGGCCUGAGAGCACAGCAUGCCAGUGGAGACCCAAGACAAAUAAAGCAGUGAGUACGCUGAUCUUUUCCAUGUCACUAAGUCCCAUGUCCUGUUAAGCAGGUAACCUGUGUUUCACUGGUCUUUCUUUAGCUGCCCAGAUAUACUGCCUGUUUGUGAGGGAAAAGAUGUCAGAGGUUGGGUAUCAGGUACUUCAAGGCAUUGUUACUGAUGCUCAGAACAGUUUUUUCAGCUUCUUUCUUUUCCUGCCCUCUUCUCAUUGAAGCAAGUGUGAAAAGCCACCAGGCAUCAGCUCAACUCACAGCAGGGAGGCAGCAGUGCCAUUGAAGAAUGCCAUGAGGUGGAACAGAAACAAGACUUCUACAUGUGAAAUCUUCAGACAAUGCUGAUGUGGAUGUCAGCACACUUAUACCAGCUACUGGAAGCACAUUAAUUGAACCAGAAGCUGUCAUCCUGAAUGUGUGUUGAAAGAUCUGGCUGUAUCCGUUCUGAAGUAAACUCCAAACCAAACAUUUAUGGAGCACUUGUGGGCAGGAUUGACCACUUCAAACUGUGACUAAAUUCACUUUGUGUCAUCAUUUAUUUUGCUGAAAGCUCUCAUAAAGUUCCAUACAGCCAUCCUGAUUUGAGUUGCUGGGACAGUGUUCCCACAUGAGAUCAUAAACCAGAUAGCACGGUGCUGAGGUUACGCUGGAUGGCCUGAUCUGAGCCCCCUUUGAGCCUGGGAUUGAAGGAAGCUUGUAAACAUAAAAACAAAACAACAACAACAAAAAAACUUUCCCCAGAGUAAUCCCUCCACAAUUGCUACCUGGAAAAGCACGAUCUGAGAAAUUUGAGUAAGUUUUGAACAGUCAGACAUUAACUUCGAAGGCUUAUGGCUGGCUAAUAUACUUUCCUUGUAUUAGUCUUGGGAGCAUAAUAUGAUGUCUAACAAAAUUUAGUCAGUUGAGCGUAAAGCAGGUUUGAAGUUCAGAAUUAUUUCUCUGUACAUUGCAUUGGAAGGUUUUUCCUAUCUUACUGCUGAUGUUGUUAUUGCCUCACAAAGACUUCAGGUUGGAUAUUUGGAAAAACUUCUGCUCAGAAAGAGUGGUGUGGCAGUGGCACAGGCUGCCCAGGGAGGUGGUGAUGUCACCAUCCCUGGAGGUGUUCAAGAACCAUGAGGAACGUGGUUAGUGGGCAUGGAGUGAUGGCUUAGUGGUUGGGCUAUAUGAUCUUAGAGGGCUUUUCCAACAUUAGCGAUUCUAUGAUUUCACUCUUCAGGAGCACAUUCAUUCACAUUUACCCAAACUUUAAGAAAUAAAACCACUUGACCAACAAACAUUGCUCUCUGACCAACUGAAGACAUGAAGAUCUCCUGCUCACAUGAAGUCCAAUGACAGCACAGUGCUGUGAGCAGGAGAGUAAGACCUCUUGAGGGGUAUGAAUUAGAAGAUUUGCUGCUGGCAUAAGUAACUGAAUUAGGGAUGAGAUUAUACCUGUGGUAAGUCCUUUUUACUCAAAUAAUACAGUACAUACAGUACAUACAUACAGUAAAGAAGCUCUGAGUUCUGUAUGAAAUGAAGACAUGACUGCUUAUUAAAUUGAAAAUUGUGUAGAUUAAAUCCUGGGGUUGAUGUGAAACUUUUGGCAGGACAUUAGUGGGGCAGGUUAGAGGAAUUGUACAACACAGACAGUCGGUGUUUAUGCGCUCUUCCACUUAGUGUUGCUGUGAUGCAAAUGUAAAAGUUUGACCAAGACCCUCAGCAUAACUGAAAAUAUAACUGUGUAAAGUAAAAAUGCAGAUACAAAAUAGAAUGGCCAGUGGCUGUUUUCUCAGAUUGCUUUUCCUAAGGUGGUACUUUCAACAACUGUUGGUCAUCAUUCCCGUAGAGGAAUAUGUGAAUGUGUAAGAGAUAAAAAGCUGUGAUACAGUCUGCUUGCUUGCUUUGAUUUUAUAUGCUGAUGAGCCUUAAUUUGCAAGGGUGUUAAUUUGUCUUUUUUGUAUCUACUGUGUAUAAAAUUCUGGCUAUACUGAAUGCAGUGUUUGGCAGCAUGAACCUGAUAAAAGAACAGGUGUUGUCUGCUGCUAAUACCAGAUGUUUUGCUCGCUGUCACUCUCGUUCACGUUUGUUGAUGCUUUGAAAACUUAGAGAGAGAAAGCAUUAUAACAUCUUAAUAUUCAUUGAUUAUACACUAAGUAUCUACCACUGAAUUUUGCCCAUAACUUUUUCAACAGUAUGGAUGUUCUAACUUUGGGAUGAUAAGGUGAAGUGAGUCUUUAUACGGAAAGACCAGAACAUCUUUCAUUUCUGAAACUGAGUUUUCAAACAUUUGUCUCAAAGGAUCUUUACUUUUUAGGAAACUCUUAACGCUGCAUUUUGUGCCAUCUUUUUACUUCAUCUCAUGUCUUGCACUUUGGGUAUCUCAGCUCACACCAUCACUGAUUGUGAGACUCCUGAAGAGAAUUUUAAAGGAAAAAGCCCUUGUGUUUGGCAAAUAAACAUUGCUUCUGGCAAAAUA